UAUAUAGUUGAGCUGGAAUGCUAUCGGUAAUAAACGGUUCGGUUUACUACCGAUUUGUUUUCGAUGAUAGAGCUUCCAAAUUGAUGAUCGGCACCGUUAAACAUGAUCUAAACUAUUUAAACUAUCUGGAAAUCAAAUUUCACACAUUUUCGAUAUUGUUCUCUUGUCCAUCAAGUGAACAGAAAAUGAAUAGCUGGAAAUGAAUAUCCUUCAAAAAGUGAUGAUACAAUUUUUAUAUUUGAGAUUUAGAGUCUAGAUCUUAUUUUAAAUAGUUUAAAGAAUUUUUUAAUAAAAAUUUAGUUGAUUUGAACUCUUCUAUACCGUUAAACGAGCAAACGCACCAUAUCGGCCAUUAAAAUUAUAGAUUUUGUGACCCUUUGAUCGUUCAGUUAGUGAUGCCAAAAAAUCAUGAAAUUUGAUUUCUAGAUAAUUUAAAUGGUUUAGAUCAUGUUCAACGGUGCCGAUCAUCGAUUUGGAAGUUCUAUCAUCAAAAACAAAUCGGUAGUAAACCGAGCAGUUUACUACCGAUAGUAGCCCAGUCAAACUCUCUCUAUAUAUAUAUAUAGAGUCCAGCUACUAUGCUAUAUAUUAAUAGUACGAAGCACUUGGUGCUGCCAAGUUUUCCACCGUUAGAUCUACCAUUUUGAUCAUUUUCACCCGUUAGAUUAUACUAUUCAACCAAUCACCCACUCAACCCUAGAGAAUCACUAUCAAUUUAAUCCGGGACCACUAUCAUCCUAACCGCGCAUCCUUUCAUCCAACGGCUGAAAACUCAAUAGUACCAAGGGUUUGAUACUAUUGAUAGUAUAGUAGCAUAAUUUUAUAUAUAUAUAGUUGAGCUGGAAUGCUAUCAGUAGCAAACGGACUCCGUUGUCACCCAUUUAUUUUCGAUGAUGGAGCCUCCAAAUCGACGAUCGGCACCGUUGAAAAUGAUAUAUACCACUUGAAGUAUCUAGAAAUUAAAUUUCAUACUUUUUCGAUAUUGUUUUCUUGUCCAUCAAAUGGGCGUAAAAAUGAAUGGCUGAAAAUGAAUAUUCUUUAAAAAGUGAUGAUAGAAAUUUUGUAAUCAUGAUCGAGAGUAUAGAUCUUGUUCUAAAUAGUUUAAAGAAUUUUUCAACCAAAAUUCAAUUGAUUUGGAUAACUUUACACCGUUAAAUAAGAAAACCCCUCAUAUCAAUCAUUAAAAUUACUAAUUUUGAAACCCUUUGAUCAUUAGGUAAAUGAUGUCGAAAAGAUUUGAAAUUUGAUUUUUAGAUACGUCAAGUUAUAUAGAUCAUGUUCAACGGUGCCGAUCGUCGAUUUAAAAGCUUCAUCAUCGAAAAUAAAUGGGUGGCAACGGAGCCUGUUUGCUACCGAUAGCAUUCCAGCUCAACUAUAUAUAUAUAUAUAUAUAAAAGUUUUAGAAUG
rnacentral:lncRNA from 1 species